UCCAUUCUAUUCGUUAACCAGCUUCCCCCCAAAAAUUUCUCCCAAAUUCUAAAAUCCCGCCCUCUCUAAUUUCCAACCCCCUCUAAAAUCCCUAACCCCAAUCUCUGUUCUCUCUGAUCUCUCCAAUAGCCGCGACCUUCGUGCAUCCUUCCUCCCUGUCUCCUUCUCUUGUGUUACAUUACAUCACCUUCUCCUUUCUUCUCCUUCCUCCCCCAAUCGCUUUCGUAAAACGUCAAAAACUAACCAGCAGGGCUCGAUCCCCAAGAGUUCGAGCUUUGAUCACCUCCUUGAUCUUCGAUUUCGUCAGUGAAGAGGGUGCCAUCGGCAUCGAAUCUUAGGUCGAGAUCAUCAAUGGGAUCGGAGAAGGGGACGCCGAAGAAACCGGAUCCUAAGAUUGUUCGUGCUGCUACUGGUUACGUCCUUGAGGAUGUUCCUCACGUGACUGAUUAUAUCAAGGAUCUUGCUUUAUUUUUAAUUUUAAUUAAAAAUAUUUUUUUUUGGGUUUUGACUUUGUUGUUGGUGGUGAGUUGAUCCCUGUUAAUAAUUGCAAAUUAGAAGCUGUGGUAUUUGAUUUUUAACAUUGCUUAAAGUGGAGCUUUUAUCAUGUUCCAUUAAUCUUGGCUCUCAUAAUUUUGAGUGUGAUAGCAGAUAGCUUACACAAUAUUUCUAAUCACCCUUGGAACUUUUUCCCCCUCUUUUUAUCUUUUUAAUGAGUUUGGCUCAUCCAUUUGUUAUUUUCUUUUGACAGACAUAUCCCAACCUGCUACAAGAUAAUCCAGCAUAUUCAGUGGUGAAGUAUGCGCCCAUCUAAUUCAUCAUUUGAGGUUAGAGGAGGUACUCCCGUAGGGAGCAACAGUACGAUACGACGUUCUAAUACAGACGACACUGAUAACAAGGAUGUCGACAACGACAAAGACGAUGAUGAGGAGUGAGUGAGACUUGUGUUAAGACAUAUUAUGACUUUUGAAUUUUACCUAUAUGUAAUAUAUUUGUGAUUUUAUUGCGUAGUGAAUGAAUAUUAUUUGAGCAUGCGAGAUAUAUUGUGAUUGUGAUUA